CCUACGGGAGGCAGCAGUGGGGAAUUUUGGACAAUGGGCGCAAGCCUGAUCCAGCAAUGCCGCGUGAGUGAAGAAGGCCUUCGGGUUGUAAAGCUCUUUUGUCAGGGAAGAAACGGUGAAGGCUAAUAUCCUUUGCUAAUGACGGUACCUGAAGAAUAAGCACCGGCUAACUACGUGCCAGCAGCCGCGGUAAUACGUAGGGUGCAAGCGUUAAUCGGAAUUACUGGGCGUAAAGCGUGCGCAGGCGGUUUUGUAAGUCUGUCGUGAAAUCCCCGGGCUCAACCUGGGAAUGGCGAUGGAGACUGCAAGGCUAGAGUUUGGCAGAGGGGGGUAGAAUUCCACGUGUAGCAGUGAAAUGCGUAGAUAUGUGGAGGAACACCGAUGGCGAAGGCAGCCCCCUGGGUCAAAACUGACGCUCAUGCACGAAAGCGUGGGGAGCAAACAGGAUUAGAUACCCUGGUAGUCCACGCCCUAAACGAUGUCUACUAGUUGUCGGGUCUUAAUUGACUUGGUAACGCAGCUAACGCGUGAAGUAGACCGCCUGGGGAGUACGGUCGCAAGAUUAAAAACUCAAAAGGAAUUGACGG
rnacentral:rRNA from 1 species